rnacentral:rRNA from 1 species
AGAUUGAACGCUGGCGGCAGGCCUAACACAUGCAAGUCGAGCGGCAGCACGGGUACUUGUACCUGGUGGCGAGCGGCGGACGGGUGAGUAAUGCCUAGGAAUCUGCCUGAUAGUGGGGGAUAACGUUCGGAAACGGACGCUAAUACCGCAUACGUCCUACGGGAGAAAGUGGGGGAUCUUCGGACCUCACGCUAUCAGAUGAGCCUAGGUCGGAUUAGCUAGUUGGUAAGGUAAGGCCUACCAAGGCUACGAUCCGUAAUGGUCUGAGAGAUGAUCAGUACAACACGUGGAACUGACGACGACGGUCCAGGACUCCGUACGGGAGUCAGCAGGUGGGAAUAGUUGGACAA